GAUAAAUGCAGCCAUUAGUUUCGGCGCCCAACUUUGAUCGUCCGUUUUAUUUAAAAACUUUUUAUAAUUAGCAUUUUUGUUGUUAUAAGAUGAUAAAACAUGGAUAGUACUUUACUCGUGACUUAUGUCUUUAAUUUUUUUUAAAAAAAUUUCAAAUAAGACGAAUGGUCAAAGUUGAGCGCUGAAAACCAUGACUGCACUUAUU
rfam:Oryza glumipatula chromosome 4, whole genome shotgun sequence.